UACGUAGGGUGCAAGCGUUGUCCGGAAUUAUUGGGCGUAAAGCGCGCGUAGGCGGCCCGAUAAGUCCGCUGUGAAAGUCAACGGCUCAACUGUUGGAUGCCGGUGGAUACUGUCGGGCUAGAGUACGGAAGAGGCAAGUGGAAUUCCUGGUGUAGCGGUGGAAUGCGCAGAUAUCAGGAGGAACACCUAUAGCGAAGGCAGCUUGCUGGGACGUUACUGACGCUAAGGCGCGAAAGCGUGGGGAGCGAACAGG
rnacentral:rRNA from 1 species